GCCGGGGUCUCCUAGUCCGGUAGGGAGCAGGCCUGGAGAGCCUGUGGCCCACUCUGGGCCGCGUGGGUUCAAAUCCCACCCCCGGCGCCA
rnacentral:tRNA from 1 species